AAAAGAAAAUAACAAUGAUUUCCCUAGUAACGGCGAGUGAAGAGGAAAGAGCUCAAAGUUGGAACCUGUUUGGCCUAGCUAAACAGGAUUGUAAACUGUAGAAGUGUUUUCCAGGCAAUCCGAGUUAAUAAGUCCUUUGGAACAGGGCAUCAUAGAGGGUGAGAAUCCCGUCUUUGAUUCGAGAUAUUUUGUCUUUUGCGAUACACUUUCAAAGAGUCAGGUUGUUUGGGAAUGCAGCCUAAAUUGGGUGGUAAAUCUCACCUAAAGCUAAAUAUUGGCGAGAAACCGAUAGCGAACAAGUACCGUGAGGGAAAGAUGAAAAGAACUUUGAAAAGAGAGUUAAACAGUAUGUGAAAUUGUUAAAAGGGAACCGUUUGGAGCCAGACUGGCUUGUCUGUAAUCAAUCUAGGUUUCGUGCCUGGAUGCACUUGCAGACUAUUUGCCUGCCAACGACAAUUUUUUUUGAGUGUAAAAACUAUUGGAAAUGUGGCCAAUAUUUAUUUAUUGGUGUUAUAGUCCUUUAGAAAAUACCUUGAAUUGGAUUGAGGAACGCAGCGAAUGCUUCUCUUUUGAGGCAAAGUCUUUUAUUUGGGAUUUACGGAUCAGACUGUGGCAUUGUCACAAGACUUGAAGUUUAAACCUAUUUUUGAACUUUUAUUCGCUUAGGUUGUUGGCUUAAUGACUCUAAAUGACCC
rnacentral:rRNA from 1 species